AUGAUGUCUGUGGUCAGCUUGGUGUAUGCCAGUAGUCCUCGCGGUAGCGGUUUUAUUGUUUACGCCAGCCCAGAAGCGUUUCUAGCCAUGACAUGCGAGCACGUCGUUCGUGGGUGUAGGGAACUCCAAAUCUUUUUCCCCGGCGAAACUAAAGCAUACAAAGCUAGAGUCCUGAGGCACGACCCAACAAUAGACCUUGCUUUAAUUUCCUUUCUCCCCGACGGCGAUUGCCUUCAACGUCGUGUCCCACUGAGGUUUGCGGACCUAAAUGCUCCACUAAAUUGUGGGGCAGUUCGGAUGAUAGGAUACCAUCAGGUUCCACAAGGCCGCCUUCUGAGCCCAGGAGUGUUCGACGGCAACCUCACGGUCCAAGAGGCCGACCAGACAGACGAUCCUGAAAUGAAAUUGAGGAGCAUCCAGUUUCUUAAUUGUAAUUACGCGUCCGAGCCUGGCACGUCAGGAGGCCCUAUUCUCAAGGGGAAUAGGGUUGUUGGGGUAAACUCUGAUUCUUUUGGAGGACACAAGUUUUCCAUCUCUGUCAUAGGUGUAUGCAACACACUGCGGAGGUGGCUUAACAUGGAAAAUAGCGGUGUUGGAAUCGAUGACAUGCUAGCAAUGCUUGCUCGGGAAUGA
rnacentral:rRNA from 1 species